rnacentral:lncRNA from 1 species
CUUGUCUGCAGAACAGGGACAAUAAUAAUUCCCACCUCAAAGGAUUGCAGUGAGGGGGGAUGUCAGAAGGUGACCUGAGCCUGAGGGCAUGGCACGCUCUGUCCAGCGCUCGUGUUCCUGGGCCCCCCUGGCGUCCUAGGAGAUGUUCUGACUGCACCCAGCUGUGCCAGGCGUCGUCUUACACAGUCCCUGAUGCCUUGAGGUCACCUAACACGAACCAACUUAAAGAAAGCCUCCCCUCGCGCUUUCCACGACCAACUUCCCGACCCCUUCCUUCCCCGCGUCCUACUCGUCCACCUGAAUGCACCAGGUUCCAUCACUUUUCCUCCAAAACGUCCUAAAAGAAUUCAAAGCCUCACUUUUCUUUCCCUUCUUGCAGCAUCCUCAAUGCUGUCCCGCUCCACCCAUCCUUCGGGACUAUUUCAGCCCUUCCGGCUGAGUUCUUGCUUCUGACCCCACCACACCCGAAUUCUGCAGCUACCAGCAGACGGAUCCUCCUCCCACAGCCUGCUUUUGUCCCACCACCUCCCUGGGCAGGAAUCUUCACUAGCUCCCCAUUGAAUGACAUCCAAACCCAGCCUAGCACACAGGGAUCUCCACACCACGGCCUCAGCUGACCGACCCUUUUAAUUCCAUCGCUUAAAAACAAUCUUGCUGAAGCCUGGAAGCACCGCACUGCCUUUCAGUGGGUGGAUGGCUAAGUGACCUGUGUACAUCCAGACAACAGGAUGUGACUGAGCACUCAAAAGAAACGAGCUGCCAGGCCCUGAAAAGACGUGGAGGGAACUUAAAUGGACUUCCUAAGUGAAAGAAGCUGGUCUGAAAGGCUGCAUGCUGUGGGAUGCCACCUUUAUGGCAUUCUGGAAAAUCAAAACUAUGGAGAUGAGUGUGCACCAGCAAGAGUGAGCCCGAAUGUAAACCCCAGGUGACGCCGGGUGAUGAUGAUGUGUCCGCCUGGGCUCAUCCAGGGGGUGCCCAAUUCUCCCAACAUUCUUAUUAAAGCAGACACAAUCGAAUAAUAUCUUCAAAAAGGAAGGAAGUCCUGUUCACGAAGUUAUUUUCUGAACAUCCCCCUACACUCUAGAUUUCACAACAUGCAUACAUUUAGGUGGAGGGACCGAGACUUCGUGCCCUCAAUGGCAGCUGUAAUUUGGGAGUCAAACGCCAUCAGGGAGCAUUGAUAGCUUCUGUGUGAUCCCCUCGUAUAGACAAGAAAAGGUCAGAAUCGAAGGAGGAAUGAAAUAUUUACUUUAAAGAAAGAGACUUUCAGAACGGAGAGUCUGAACACUUCUGGAAAUAAGCCUGAAGUCAGAGGUCAACUCAGCGAGAUUCUACAACGGGGAAGUUGAGAGUUUAGAGAAGGACCAGGAAAAAAAUAGAAUGACCCAGCCACUGGGAGGUGCCAGUGACCCUGGACUGCUGUUCUUAAAAGGCCCCUCUCGCUUAGUCGUGGAGCCCAGGGCCAUCGCUUUGUGGCCCAAGGAACGUGCAGCCUACACUGGCCUCUGCAUGGCAACUCGCUACGACGUUUGCACUCGUUCAUCUAAAGCGAGGGAGGGCCACCCUCCUACGUCCUCUUCCGUCCUGCCUCUGUGAACUGCACAGAGUUUGCAUCAAGCCCUUCUAGACGUAAAGCCUAAUCGUGUAAGGCGUAGGCACGGUUGAAAUCAGCUGACUUCUCGUCCUCGGCUCCCUAUCAUCUUUCUUUCCCCUUCCUGUUGGAGGUGGUCAUCUCCAUGUGCCUCUGUGUUGAAGUAUGCAGAUUAUAAGCACCAUGUUCAGUGCCUGCUGGCACCGAUUGCUUCACACAUCUCAUUGAAUCUUUGCAACAGGUCUUUAAGCUGCUUAUUUCUAUCUGCGGUUGCAAAGGAGGACACAGGCUCAUGGCAGCUACAGGGACUUUUGGGGAAGGGCCUGUGCCAGUGUGAUAGAGGCAGGACGUGAGCGCAGGUCUGGAGCUCACUUGUCUCGGGGACCGCACCCCACGCUUCUGAGAGCACAGCUGGAGGGGACUCGCUGCCCUCCUGGUCAGCGUCUUUGGCCUGGGACAGACUCUGGCCACAGGAGGCCUACUCGCUCUGCAGUGUCGCUCUCGGGGGCCCGGCCCCCUCACCACUGCUUUAUUUAUUAAUGUGGCUUCAGAGCGUUAGGGCCCCAGACUGUCUAGUCCACACUCGUGCUUUAGACGAGGAAACAGAUGCACCCAAGAGGAAUAAAUGGACUAGAGGGAUGUAUCAGACAGCGUUGCUGCCCCGACUCAGCGGCUUAAAACAGCGAAGGCUGAUCGUUCCUCACGAUUCCGAGGGUGGACCGGCCGGCUCUUCAGUCGAUCUCCC